GGUAUCAUAGAGGGUGAGAAUCCCGUGCAUGAUCAGACCAAAAUACCUAAUAUUCGUUUUCUAAGAGUCGAGUUGUUUGGGAAUGCAGCUCAAAAUGGGUGGUAGACUCCACCUAAGGCUAAAUAUCAGCGAGAGACCGAUAGCGAACAAGUACCUGUGAAGGAAAGAUGAAAAGAACUUUGAAAAGAGAGUUAAAUAGUACGUGAAAUUGUUGAAAGGGAAACGAUUGAAGUCAGUCAUGCUAGUGAAAAAUCAGUUUGACGGGUUUUGAGUUCGGGAGUAGAGGCAGGGUCAAACCGUUUCUCUUUUGGACUUGGGAUUUGUUAGAUGUACUUUUCUUUGGCAGGUUAGCGUCGAUUU
rnacentral:rRNA from 1 species